GACGAACGCUGGCGGCGUGCUUAACACAUGCAAGUCGAACGGAAAGGCCCUGCUUUUGUGGGGUGCUCGAGUGGCGAACGGGUGAGUAACACGUGAGUAACCUGCCCUUGACUUUGGGAUAACUUCAGGAAACUGGGGCUAAUACCGGAUAGGAGCUCCUGCUGCAUGGUGGGGGUUGGAAAGUUUCGGCGGUUGGGGAUGGACUCGCGGCUUAUCAGCUUGUUGGUGGGGUAGUGGCUUACCAAGGCUUUGACGGGUAGCCGGCCUGAGAGGGUGACCGGCGACAUGGGGACUGAGAGACGGCCCAGACGGCUACGGGAGGCAGCGGGGGGGAGUAUUGCGCAAUGGGCGGAAGCCUGAUGCAGCAGCGCCGCGUGCGGGAUGACGGCCUUCGGGUUGAAAACCGCUUUCGACUGUGACGAGGCGUGAGUGACGGUAAUGGGUAAAGAAGCACCGGCUAACUACGUG
rnacentral:rRNA from 1 species